CCUGACUGCUUGUUCGUCUCACUGGUGUGAGCUCCAGCAUCCCCUUUGCUCGAAAUGGACCCCAACUGCUCUUGCGCCACUGGUGGCUCCUGCACGUGCGCCGGCUCCUGCAAGUGCAAAGAGUGCAAAUGCACCUCCUGCAAGAAGAGCUGCUGCUCCUGCUGCCCCGUGGGCUGUGCCAAGUGUGCCCACGGCUGUGUCUGCAAAGGGACGUUGGAGAACUGCAGCUGCUGUGCCUGAUGUGGGAACAGCUCUUCUCCCAGAUGUUAAUAGAACAAGCUGCACAACCUGGAUUUUUUUUCAAUACGAUACUGAGCCAUUUGCUGCAUUUCUUUUUAUAUUAAAUAUGUGAGUGACAAUAAAACAAUUUUGACUUGAAUCUUA
rnacentral:lncRNA from 1 species